UGGGGAAUUUUGCACAAUGGGGGAAACCCUGAUGCAGCGACGCCGCGUGAUUUAGAAGGCCUUCGUGUUGUAAAAAUCUUUUCUAUGGGAAGAAAAUGACAGUACCAUAGGAAUAAGGACCGGCUAAUUACGUGCCAGCAGCCGCGGUAAUACGUAAGGUCCGAGCGUUGUCCGGAACCAUUGGGCGUAAAGGGUACGUAGGCGGGUAAGCAAGUUAGAAGUGAAAUCCUGUAGCUCAACUACAGUAAGCUUUUAAAACUGCUCAUCUUGAGAUAUGGAAGGGAAAGUGGAAUUCCUAGUGUAGCGGUGAAAUGCGCAGAUAUUAGGAGGAAUACCGGUGGCGAAGGCGACUUUCUGGCCAUAAUCUGACGCUGAGGUACGAAAGCGUGGGUAGCAAACAGG
rnacentral:rRNA from 1 species